CAUAACGUAGCAGCACAUAAUGGUUUGUGGGUUUUGAAAAGGUGCAGGCCAUAUUGUGCUGCCUCAAAAAUACAAGGAUUUCAUCAUCCUGAAGAGAAAUAUCACUUAUGAAUUAGUUGAUCUUGUGAUGCUGAUGUCUGUCAUACUUUAGCAGCACGUAAAUAUUGGUGUUAAGACUGUAAAUAUCUCCAGUAUUAACUGUGCUGCUGAAGUAAGGCUAGCCACCUCUGCAUGUGAGUCAUGGAAAAGGACAUUCCAUGUAUUUCCUGAUGCCUUUUUGUUGUUAUAAUUUAUACGUGGAUUGUUUAUGAAUGCUUUCCUGGCUUUUGUUUGUAUUUUCAUCUAUUCAGAAACAAUAUUUAGGACUUCAUAGUAUCUGAUGGUAAAUACAGAAUAGGCAUAUGUAUAUAACUUUGAAUGCUUUGGUUUACAUGAAAGCUGAAUUUAUUAAGGGAGCCAUCUCAAGCUACACCUGUCAAACAGUGCUUUGGUAAGUGUGUUUAUAUGUAUUUAAAAAAUUAUAAAAUUUUGUUACUUUAAAUGUCACUAUUUCUUUAUUAAAACUCUCAAAACUGUGUUCAUUUUUACAGCAUUUUCUUAGUGAAUGAAACUGGGAAAUGUUUUGUCAUAUUUUUAACAAAGUGAGCACAUAAAGCAAAAGUGUCUUCCAAAAUUUUUAACAAAACUCAUUAAACACUUCAUUUCUUAAAUCACUGUCUCUAUAGACAGGUAACAAUUUUAUGGUUAGAAGCUUAAACUGUAUAUCUGACUGUGAAUUUACUAAUUUUUUUCUCAUCUUCCACUAAGAUGUUUCUCUUGCAGGGGAAUCUUUCAUUGAGAUGAUUGAAAUCACUGCAGUGAGAAUGGAAAUUACUUGGGCUCCUUUCCUUUUAAAAGCUGCAUGCAAGAACUGUGUGGGUGAGUUUUCUGCUGAUUCAACGAGUUAAACCAGUUCAGUGCAAGAUUAGAUGAUCACCAGGUCUAACAUCAAAGGGGUGAGGAAAAGAGGAACAAGAUUUUUCCCUUUCUGUGGAAGCAAGCCAUUAAUGUGACUCAAGCUGUAACAGGUUUGUGUUCCCCAUCAGUAAGGUUUCUCUGAAGCCAUGCUACCAAAGACCUGUCAGAUUGGAAUUGUCUCCUAGGGUGAAAGACCAAGGAAAAGAGGUGUAAAUGCCUCCAUAAAGCUCGUGGCAGUGGAGAAGCAAGUCCCAGCGGAUUUUACUAGCAGGGCGAAGAGGAAUUAUUUUUCUGAGAACUGAUUAGCCACAUUGUAUUACAUGCUGUAACAACGGGAGAGAGUUCUCCUCUCUCUAACGAGUUUGGCAUUAUCAGGGAACCUUCCUGAACCAUACUUGCCCACAGCCAGCAGAUCUACUUUGCAGGGCUAAUGAGAGACUGUUGUGUUUUGUAAAUGAAGCUCUGAGCUAGAGAACAAAACAAGUCAGUGACCAUCGUUUCCUUUCAGCAGGACUUCCAAAUAUGCCUGCAUUUAUGAAAUGGAUGGGACUGGUCUUUUUCCCAUUCUUCUAACAUGGUUCCCAGACAAAAUGUCUCUACUGCUACUGUUUGAGGAAAUAAAGUUAAAACCCUGUGAGUGACAAACAUGUUUAGGCAUGCUGAGCAUAAUUUUGCUUCCAGUGUGGGAGGGUCCUAAAUACUUGGCCUCCCCAGUGAAAGAAAGGCACAUUCAAGAAAGGCAGAAGCUGAAUUAACCCUUCAUUACCAAGCACAAUUAUACUUCCAAAUAUUGAAGCCCAGGUCUUCAUUUCCGUGGGGCAAUUUUUGUGCACUGUAAAAAUGUUGGUGUUCAAAUAUGCUCUAAACAGGCUGACAAGCACAUUUACCAAUACAGUACUAUCCUGCUGGAGUUGGUCAUCUCCUCCUCCAAGAAAGGCAUAUGAAUAAGGCACGUUUCUUACCAGCUGACUUUUGCCUUACUUCCACUGGAGCAACGUGGUUACCUGCUUGAUUUUGUCCAGCGCUGGAGCCUUCACUCAGGGCACGCAUACAUCUUUGCUGCUGUUCCUGCACAAUCCAUUGUGUUCCUGGACAACCCAAGUUGUCACCAGCUGCUGUCAGGGUGCUCGGCGGCCAGGCUCUGCACCUGGAGGGAGACGGGAUGGGCGCAGGGAUGAGAGUUGCACUGACCUUGGUCCCACCAUGCACAUAGGAACUGGAGUCAGUGUGCUCCAAAGCAGCACCGGCAACUUCUCUGAGCUGUGGCACGCACCCCACAAGUGCUGCAGUCUGCUGGCCUGUAAAACCAGCCUCUCAAGUUAAGAAAGCAGUGGAGCAGGAAACUGGUAGGGAGGCACAGCCAGCCACUGCUCCCUGAAGCUCCAUCCGCUUGAGUCCAACUGAUUUGCAAUGCUGACUUUGUGUGGUGAGAUGUAUUUGUUUUCCUAGUGCUUAUUUUGGGGAAGAAAGGACUUACUGGGGCACAGAGAAAAAAAUGGUCCAGGGAGUUGCUUGGAGGUUGAAUCUCUCUCUAAUUUUUUUUUUUUUUAAGUAUAUUAACAUUUGUCAUUUAGCAUUUACUGUAACAAACCCGCAGCGUGUGACAGACAAUAAAAAUCCUGCAGUGACUUAAAUGGGACUAAUUAUGUGAACAACAAGCUACCAAUGAGAAUCGUGAUGCCCUCCAUACGAAAUAAAUAAACAUCAGCUUCCACCUAAUAUUUACUUCUUAGAAGUUCAAGACUAAUCCCAUUUGGCAUAUUUUGAGGAAGUGAGCUCUUGACCCCAAAUGUUUA